rnacentral:lncRNA from 1 species
UUCCUCUCUCUCUCUCUCUCUUCCUCACUACCUUCUCUUUCUCUUUCUCUUUCUCUUUCUUCAGCUACGAUUAUAUCUCUUCAUCUCCCCCUCAAUAAAUCCCAUCUCGGUUUAAUCUCCUCCUCAUCCCAUAAAACCCUAGAAUUGGGUUGCAACAACAUGUAAUCAGAGCAUCAAGACAUGAAAUUGAUCGUCGUUCAAUUGGAUGGCCGAUAAUGGAGAGAUCGACGUCACAAUCAUUUCUGAGUUUCUUCUUUCUUGAGCUCUCUGAAGGUCGGCAAAGCGAACUUUUAAGUCUAUUUCUAUUCGUAAGGUCAGUACAUAUAUGCUUAUCUUUUCGAUUAUAUAUUGAUUGUUUUGAUGAGUUUUAUGUUGAUUGUAAGUUGGAUGAUGGAACCUUAAUUUCUGACCUAAAAGUAUCUGAGUAGGAGUCUUUGGGUGGUUCUUUUAUUCAUGCAUCUCUAGGUGACUUUUUGGGGCUUUUAGAAGGCUCUGAAUUUCUGAUUGUUAAUAGAAUACUGUUAAUGUCUUAUGUUAUUGUUUCAGGACAAGUUUUAAUUUGAGAAUAGUGUCCAGUCGGAAUUUGAUUCAAAAUGCAGUCUCCAAGGGCUUUCAUGUCAUCAAGCAUUGCAGCCGAUGCUUUUCAAGAAAGUGCAAGCUCAAAAGCUUAUGGGUCUGAACAGAUUCAGGUAAAUGAAUAACUAUAUAGUAUUUUUUUUUCAUUGAUAAGAAUAUGAUAAUGUGUUUCACAUCAUGUAAAUGCCUUCUAUUCUUACUGAAACUAUUGUUUAGUGUUGUAGCUUAUAUAUACAUGGAAGAUGGGUUGUCAGACCAAAUUCUUCAUUAACAAUGGGUGAAUACUUUCUUCUGAUUGAACAUGAUUGAGUGAUGUGAGGCUACCGUGAUCAUAGAAAAAUGACCACUAAGAAGUUCAAAUAAAUCAAGUUUGAAUUUGACUUAAUUUUGACUACCCACUGAAAAACAAAGGAAAAAUUUACAGCCAAAUUACGGAGUUUGCAUGUUGACCACAUUAAGACACUUUUGAGCUAAUGUUAAUAAUAAUGAAAGUAAUGAACACAUCCUCUACUUGCUAUUAAUGAGUUAUAACAUUGACCUUUCAAACCCUUAGAAUAUUGAAUUAAUAUGUAUUCAGAUUUUUGUCAAGGGAUUAGUGCUUUUUGGUGGUUGUGAUAUUCAUUUUUUUAAGAAGUCAUGGUUUUACUUGAUCUAAUUUUUUUAUAUAAAAAGGAACGAAGAAAACAUUGGGUAUUGGAACUUGGAAGUCGUAUUGCUUCGUCUUUCAUAUAUAAACCUAUUGUUAAUUUACUUAUCAAGCAAAAAAAAAAAGAGUAAAAAGUUAUGGUUAGUAGAACACCUUCUGUUAAUCUGCUACCACUUUUGAUUUAUGUGUAUAAAAUAUAUUACGAUGUAUUUGUUUUAUCUUUUUUGUGUUGACCUCCUGUACAUUUUUUCCCAGGUGUAUCUUUCCACCAAAAUACUUGAGAUUCAAAAUCAUAAAUUUGCUAUGUUUGUCCUGGAUUUAUCUAAUAGAAUUCGGAAUGAUACGGUUUAAUAUCACUUUAAUCCUUGAAUAUGCCUAAAACGAGGGAAGGAUAAUGAAAUUUUUUUGAGAACCUGUAGUAUAGCAAAUCCUGUUUAGGAUAUCUGUUAUUGAAUUUAACUGUGAGUUUUGUAUAGCUUUCUUUACUUGAUUAAAAUUUAAAAGUAGCGUACAUUGAAGAUUUUGUAAUCCUUCAGUGAACUAUAAUNNNNNNNNNNNNNNNNNNNNNNNNNNNNNNNNNNNNNNNNNNNNNNNNNNNNNNNNNNNNNNNNNNNNNNNNNNNNNNNNNNNNNNNNNNNNNNNNNNNNCUCAUGAAAAUCUCAUCUCCUUUGUAUUGUUAUUAGUGGCUAAUACCUUUGUGAUAGAUAAUUGUUAAUUUGUGACUCAAUUAUUGUAAUUGUUUUGUUUAAGUUAUUGUUAUCCAUCAUUUUUUGCAUUGUUGAUGUAUAUGAAAAUCUAUUAUACCAAAUAUAAAUUUGUUACUGAAAUUAUCAAAUUAAAUUGAUUUCAGUCUUGAAAGUAUUAAUCUAGAAGAUAUAUUAGCAUGUGAGGAAAUAAAAUUCUAAGAUGGUAGUGAUGUUCAGUUGCUUUUAGUUAUCAUGUAAAUAAUAUGUGCAGUUGCAAAAUUGUUAAUGGGUCUAUAGCAUCAAAACUCACAUAUGAUAUAUUUAAUAUUUGUAUGUGUUAAAGCAAAAUAAAGAUUUUUUUAGUCUUUAUUUAGUUUUUCUAUACUAUAUUUUCUCACUAAAUCUUUUUUUUGGGUUUUGUUUUCUCUUUUAUAGUUUCAUAUCUGUGCUAUUUUUCUUUUCUUUUUUGGUGGCAUAUCUGUGACCUCAUGGGUUUCAUUUAGUAAGUAAACUUGGUGUGAAGUUGUUGAUUAUUGUUAUAUUUCUGAAAAUUAUGUGAUUCUGAAAUUUUUAUAAUUAUUUUGGUUGUUGUGUAGCAUGAAUUUGGUGAUGCAAUAACUGGGUGUAUCUCAACAGGUUGGAUUUGAUUUGUUUUUACUUUUGAGUUUUAAUUGGUUGAAGUUUUGGUUUUAGCUGUGUAUUUUGAUUGGUGAUUUAUUAUAUUACUAGAAAGUGUAAAAUUUGCCAUAUAUAUCAUUGUUUGAACCGGUUAUGCAAACUUUUUGAAAGUCAUAACUUUUAAGUUAUGAAUAUUAUUUUUCGUGUCCACCAUUUGCAAUGAGAUCCCUAUCAAUGGAAAUAUUAAACAGUGAAUCAUGAUAUCAUUGCUAUCCUCUUGGCUAAGGUACUGUGUGUGAUUUAAUAGAGUUGGGAAAGAGUAUAUUCUCACUUUAAUAUUCUCUUAGUCUUAGCUAAGGUGUGAUUUAAUAUGUAAUAAGGAGGAUAUAGAUGUAUUUGGUGAGUGCAUAUCUAUAGAAGACCCCACACUAAUCUAUUUGUAAAACCCAUAAAAGAUAAAGAGGGGGGGCGUGUAGUUAGAACUGUAGUUUAAGUGUUUGAUGAAAUGAGACUAAGAGAAUGUUUAUAUGCGUUAAUGUAUUGACACUUAUGAUUCAUAUUUUGGAGCCAGAUUGAAAUUUUAAUUAAAAAUAAUUUAAAUUAAAUGGAUUGUAAGUAUAUCAUUGAGUUCUAGGAAUUUCUUCUCUCCAAAUGUGAUAAACUCAUAUGAAAACACCCCGCUGGAUAACUUGCCAUGGUUGAGUGGGUUUUGGUGACAGACACUUUAUAACAAAUUUGCACCUAAAGUUCUUUUGACACUAUCAGUUUAGUACUCCAAUUAUUAUUUCUUGGUUAGUUGAUUCAAAUAGGAGGGGUUUAACUCUAAAUGUUUUCACUUUUUUCCCAAAAAAUGUAAGGGGGUAGGAAGAAAGAUAAAAAUAAGUUUUUUUGAUCAUUUUUAAUGCACAAAUCAAACCAAAUUGUGAAAUUCAUCUCAGGACUGAAGGAACAUCUCUUAUUAUUUGAUAGUGGAUUUGAUGCAUUAUCAGAUAAUUUACUAUUUUCUCUGUUUAUUUAUAAUUUGCUCUUUUUAAUAUAAUUUUUAUCAAAUAAUGUAGUUAUUUUUUGUAUUUUUUUGGUUCUCUGAUUGUACCAGGUGGGAAUUUGUGCCUCAAAAGUUGAGUAAUUUGCUAAGAGGGAAAUUUUCAUUUGUGUACCUGAAAAGUGUGGUUCAAAUGCAUGGUAAGUUGAAAUGUAAAUUUGAUGCAAGGCGGAUUAUUUUCUUAUGACGUGCAAAAUUUUGGAAUGAAAUGACAAAUUUAUUUUUCUUUUAAAAUUGAAUAUUGGCAAGUGCUAUUAGUCGACAAUGUCAUUGUCAACUGAAUGCAUAAUAUAAUAGUCUUAUCAAGUGAAAUUAUCUCUCAAGUUGUAUUGCAUAGUGCAGAAUAGAAUAUCGAAAAGAGUAUGUACAAGCCUUGAGAGUAGGCUAAGAGUUUGAACUUUGAAUUUGUGUGUGAAAAUCAGUUUCUAGACUUGAAAAAGUGCAGGAGCCUAUUUGCUAUUUUCACAACAAUUAUUAUAUUUCUACAAAUUUAAUAGUUGGGUUUGUUUGUUUUUAUUGAUUUCUUUUGUCCAUAUGGAUUCUCAUAUUGGAUGCUCUCAG